UACGUAGGGUGCAAGCGUUGUCCGGAAUUAUUGGGCGUAAAGAGCUCGUAGGCGGUCUGUCGCGUCUGCUGUGAAAACUCGGGGCUUAACCCCGGGCCUGCAGUGGGUACGGGCAGACUAGAGUGCGGUAGGGGAGACUGGAAUUCCUGGUGUAGCGGUGAAAUGCGUAGAGAUCCGGAAGAACACCGGUGGCGAAGGCGGCCUGCUGGGACAUGGCUGACGCUGAGGCGCGACAGCGUGGGGAGCAAACAGG
rnacentral:rRNA from 1 species